rnacentral:rRNA from 1 species
GGGUUGUGAGGUUAAGCGACUAAGCGUACACGGUGGAUGCCCUGGCAGUCAGAGGCGAUGAAGGACGUGCUAAUCUGCGAUAAGCGUCGGUAAGGUGAUAUGAACCGUUAUAACCGGCGAUUUCCGAAUGGGGAAACCCAGUGUGAUUCGUCACACUAUCAUUAACUGAAUCCAUAGGUUAAUGAGGCGAACCGGGGGAACUGAAACAUCUAAGUACCCCGAGGAAAAGAAAUCAACCGAGAUUCCCCCAGUAGCGGCGAGCGAACGGGGAGCAGCCCAGAGCCUGAAUCAGUGUGUGUGUUAGUGGAAGCGUCUGGAAAGGCGCGCGAUACAGGGUGACAGCCCCGUACACAAAAAUGCACAUACUGUGAGCUCGAUGAGUAGGGCGGGACACGUGGUAUCCUGUCUGAAUAUGGGGGGACCAUCCUCCAAGGCUAAAUACUCCUGACUGACCGAUAGUGAACCAGUACCGUGAGGGAAAGGCGAAAAGAACCCCGGCGAGGGGAGUGAAAAAGAACCUGAAACCGUGUACGUACAAGCAGUGGGAGCACGCUUAGGCGUGUGACUGCGUACCUUUUGUAUAAUGGGUCAGCGACUUAUAUUCUGUAGCAAGGUUAACCGAAUAGGGGAGCCGAAGGGAAACCGAGUCUUAACUGGGCGUUAAGUUGCAGGGUAUAGACCCGAAACCCGGUGAUCUAGCCAUGGGCAGGUUGAAGGUUGGGUAACACUAACUGGAGGACCGAACCGACUAAUGUUGAAAAAUUAGCGGAUGACUUGUGGCUGGGGGUGAAAGGCCAAUCAAACCGGGAGAUAGCUGGUUCUCCCCGAAAGCUAUUUAGGUAGCGCCUCGUGAAUUCAUCUCCGGGGGUAGAGCACUGUUUCGGCAAGGGGGUCAUCCCGACUUACCAACCCGAUGCAAACUGCGAAUACCGGAGAAUGUUAUCACGGGAGACACACGGCGGGUGCUAACGUCCGUCGUGAAGAGGGAAACAACCCAGACCGCCAGCUAAGGUCCCAAAGUCAUGGUUAAGUGGGAAACGAUGUGGGAAGGCCCAGACAGCCAGGAUGUUGGCUUAGAAGCAGCCAUCAUUUAAAGAAAGCGUAAUAGCUCACUGGUCGAGUCGGCCUGCGCGGAAGAUGUAACGGGGCUAAACCAUGCACCGAAGCUGCGGCAGCGACGCUUAUGCGUUGUUGGGUAGGGGAGCGUUCUGUAAGCCUGCGAAGGUGUGCUGUGAGGCAUGCUGGAGGUAUCAGAAGUGCGAAUGCUGACAUAAGUAACGAUAAAGCGGGUGAAAAGCCCGCUCGCCGGAAGACCAAGGGUUCCUGUCCAACGUUAAUCGGGGCAGGGUGAGUCGACCCCUAAGGCGAGGCCGAAAGGCGUAGUCGAUGGGAAACAGGUUAAUAUUCCUGUACUUGGUGUUACUGCGAAGGGGGGACGGAGAAGGCUAUGUUGGCCGGGCGACGGUUGUCCCGGUUUAAGCGUGUAGGCUGGUUUUCCAGGCAAAUCCGGAAAACUAAGGCUGAGGCGUGAUGACGAGGCACUACGGUGCUGAAGCAACAAAUGCCCUGCUUCCAGGAAAAGCCUCUAAGCAUCAGGUAACAUCAAAUCGUACCCCAAACCGACACAGGUGGUCAGGUAGAGAAUACCAAGGCGCUUGAGAGAACUCGGGUGAAGGAACUAGGCAAAAUGGUGCCGUAACUUCGGGAGAAGGCACGCUGAUAUGUAGGUGAAGUCCCUCGCGGAUGGAGCUGAAAUCAGUCGAAGAUACCAGCUGGCUGCAACUGUUUAUUAAAAACACAGCACUGUGCAAACACGAAAGUGGACGUAUACGGUGUGACGCCUGCCCGGUGCCGGAAGGUUAAUUGAUGGGGUCAGCGCAAGCGAAGCUCUUGAUCGAAGCCCCGGUAAACGGCGGCCGUAACUAUAACGGUCCUAAGGUAGCGAAAUUCCUUGUCGGGUAAGUUCCGACCUGCACGAAUGGCGUAAUGAUGGCCAGGCUGUCUCCACCCGAGACUCAGUGAAAUUGAACUCGCUGUGAAGAUGCAGUGUACCCGCGGCAAGACGGAAAGACCCCGUGAACCUUUACUAUAGCUUGACACUGAACAUUGAGCCUUGAUGUGUAGGAUAGGUGGGAGGCUUUGAAGUGUGGACGCCAGUCUGCAUGGAGCCGACCUUGAAAUACCACCCUUUAAUGUUUGAUGUUCUAACGUUGACCCGUGAUCCGGGUUGCGGACAGUGUCUGGUGGGUAGUUUGACUGGGGCGGUCUCCUCCUAAAGAGUAACGGAGGAGCACGAAGGUUGGCUAAUCCUGGUCGGACAUCAGGAGGUUAGUGCAAUGGCAUAAGCCAGCUUGACUGCGAGCGUGACGGCGCGAGCAGGUGCGAAAGCAGGUCAUAGUGAUCCGGUGGUUCUGAAUGGAAGGGCCAUCGCUCAACGGAUAAAAGGUACUCCGGGGAUAACAGGCUGAUACCGCCCAAGAGUUCAUAUCGACGGCGGUGUUUGGCACCUCGAUGUCGGCUCAUCACAUCCUGGGGCUGAAGUAGGUCCCAAGGGUAUGGCUGUUCGCCAUUUAAAGUGGUACGCGAGCUGGGUUUAGAACGUCGUGAGACAGUUCGGUCCCUAUCUGCCGUGGGCGCUGGAGAACUGAGGGGGGCUGCUCCUAGUACGAGAGGACCGGAGUGGACGCAUCACUGGUGUUCGGGUUGUCAUGCCAAUGGCACUGCCCGGUAGCUAAAUGCGGAAGAGAUAAGUGCUGAAAGCAUCUAAGCACGAAACUUGCCCCGAGAUGAGUUCUCCCUGACUCCUUGAGAGUCCUGAAGGAACGUUGAAGACGACGACGUUGAUAGGCCGGGUGUGUAAGCGCAGCGAUGCGUUGAGCUAACCGGUACUAAUGAACCGUGAGGCUUAACCUUACAACGCCGAAGCUGUU